rnacentral:rRNA from 1 species
UACGUAGGUGACAAGCGUUGUCCGGAUUUACUGGGCGUAAAGAGCGCGCAGGCGGUCGAUCAAGUCGAGUGUGAAAGCCCCCGGCUCAACUGGGGAGGGUCAUUCGAUACUGAUCGACUCGAAGGCAGGAGAGGGUAGUGGAAUUCCCGGUGUAGUGGUGAAAUUCGUAGAUAUUCGGAGGAACACCAGUGGCGAAGGCGGCUCACUGGCUCGAUACUGACGCUGAGGUGCGAAAGCGUGGGGAGCAAACAGG